GGUCAAGCAUGAAGCAGAUGAUCGAAUACCGCUGACAUGCUUCUUCAGGCACUCCAGGAACUGAGUUUUCUUUAUAUCAGCUUGUACACUCGCUCCCCGGAAGUCCAUCCAUCUCCCGGUUCUGUGCACUGGCCAGGAAGUACACUCCAGUCCAGGCUUUAGAUUCACAGCACGAAGAAGCACGGAGACUCCUGCACACCCCUGAAAGCCUCACUUCUCAACUUACUGCCUUGGAGGGAAGUGGAAAACUGAGUCAAAAAUCUAUCUUGCAAGCAUGCAAAAACAAGCAUGCAAAAGUGCUUGCGAAUGGUUGCCUCAGGUGAGUCGGCCUGCAGUAUUGAUUCCCCAGAAAAACACCAAGCAGGCAGCAUAAUCUUAUUUCUGGAUCCAAGGAAAUGUGUAGGGCAACACCUCAGGGUGACCCUAAAGCAACGGGCCUGCCCAGAGAAGUGAAAGACAUUCGCCCACGCUCAGAGAGCUGGGCAGGGGAGGCUUGCGGAUCCAGUGGCCCCCCAGGAGUGGCUUCCUUUUAAUUUCUCCAGCUAAUUAAGGGAAAGUAUCCAUGGGUAUCAGCUCGGCGGAAGUAGAAGAAGAAGGAGCUGUUCCCGGAGAUGUCACCUCAAAUGACUCUCCAGCCUUGGAGGAAAGGGACCUUGACUGAGUUCCUCGGUCUCAGAGCAACCAAGGAUGCAAAGAAAUCAAGGAUGUGGAGGCGCCCUGAGGACGUGGGAAACCCAAGACACCAGACGGCCCUUGAAUCCACCCUCAGGACGCAAACACUGCAUCCGUCAGCUACAAAGAAACUGUGACCCCAUCUGAGCUGCCCCGACGCGACGCAACGCUGCGUCCUCAUCCACCUUACCCGCUGGGUCUGGCAUCUUGCGACUCUGGCUUUUCCCCAAAGUCACAAUGACCAUGAAAGGGGAACAUUUUGAAUCCAUUCUGACAUCGAGACAGCCAGGACAGGGCAGCUAAAGACAUCCAGAAAAGAGGACUCCAGCGCUGCUGCAGAAAGUGACAAGGAUGACGGGAUGAAUCUGUUAAAAGCCAAGGGGAGGAUUUUGAGGGAUUCGUGACAAUGUGUCUUUAACUGUGAUAAUUUUUUAAAAUUUUAAACAUUCAC
rnacentral:lncRNA from 1 species